GCGAACGCUGGCGGCAGGCCUAACCCCUGCAAGUCGAACGAACCUUUCGGGGUUAGUGGCGGACGGGUGAGUAACACGUGGGAACGUGCCUUUAGGUUCGGAAUAACUCAGGGAAACUUGUGCUAAUACCGAAUGUGCCCUUCGGGGGAAAGAUUUAUCGCCUUUAGAGCGGCCCGCGUCUGAUUAGCUAGUUGGUUGAGGUAAUGGCUCACCAAGGCGACGAUCAGUAGCUGGUCUGAGAGGAUGAUCAGCCACAUUGGGACUGAGACACGGCCCAAACUCCUACGGGAGGCAGCAGUGGGGAAUCUUGCGCAAUGGGCGAAAGCCUGACGCAGCCAUGCCGCGUGAAUGAUGAAGGUCUUAGGAUUGUAAAAUUCUUUCACCGGGGACGAUAAUGACGGUACCCGGAGAAGAAGCCCCGGCUAACUUCGUG
rnacentral:rRNA from 1 species